UUUUUUAUUUUUUAGAUUUAAUUUUUUUACUCAGCCUAUUGGUCAGGUAUGCCGGCUGGAAAUAGUUUUGAAAAUUUAGAAGCAGGAUGAUUUGUUCUGUCUGCUAAAUGACAAAAAGAUCAAAGUUGGGGCUCUUAAAUCAACAUGUUUUGAGAUAUUCAGAAAUCAAGCUGACAAAAAUUAUGGCAGUUAAAACAUAUUUUUUGUUAUAAUCUUUACAGCAGAUUAAAAGGCUACACUUGGAAAGAAUUAAAAACAAUAAGUUGCUUGUUGAUGCUGUCUUUGCAAUCACAAAUAUGAAAUAAAUACAGUUUUACAAUAUUAAUUUGGGAAGAGGAAGCGCUUGGGAACCACUGCCUUGGACAAGCUCUUUAAUACAUAAAUAAUAAUUUUAAAAAAAUAAAAUAAAGGUUUUACUCAACUGAACCUUUUGUUUUAAACCAACUCAGACAUUUAAAACACAAGCGGUUUGCGUCUGUUUCAUGAAUAUCGAAAACACCCAGAGUUCCCCUUCAGAGCAGGAUUAAAAUGUCCUGUCCUCUUUUCUAGUUGUACGCAGUUCUGUUCAGCCUUAUCUCAGCUGAUAAGAAGCUCAUUUUUCAGCACAAAACAAAAAGAACCUUCUGUUACUUUACAGGACGUUUUGUAAUCUGCUGUAAGAACUGUAAUGAGCUGGCCUUAAGUUAGUAACCUCAUCUUGUGAAAACCCUCUAUAGAAACAAACUGACGUGGGACAUUAGCUGCUGUUCAGACGGUACUCUGCUUGUUAAUGAGAUCUGUUGAUGCGUCUCCAAACUCUUAAUUAAUUUGUAUUAAAAAAAGAAAGAAAAAAAAAAGAUCCAAUUUGAGUGUGGGAAAACAGUUUGCACCAAAAAGCUGGUUUUACUUUUUAAGGGGGAACUAAGGCUGCAUCAGAAGUUUGAUUACAACCAAAUUAUCACAUCUUAAGUAAAAUAGAACAUUUUUGGCGACAGACUUCAACUAUUUGUCUUUAAAUAACCAAAUUUUCUGCAUUUUCUCUUCCCAAGACCAAAUGUAGCAGCUUUUACUCAGAAGCUGAACAUGCUGCAUCCAAAUCUACUUUUGAAAUUAAUGUUUUCAAAGAAAGACUGACCUAAAUCCUGACGUUACUGCUCAGAAAUGAAUGUUUUACAUCUAUAAUGACUCCCCUUUCCAACAACAAAUCUGCUUUAUUUGUUUAAUUAAAGUAUUGCUUACUUAGUUUUCUGUAGAGUCGGUACAUAUGUGUCAAACUCAAGGGUUGGGGGCCAAAUCCGGCCUGCCAUAGCUUUUUGAGGCCCACUAGCUUCUAAACCUACAUAAAAUUAACCUUCAAUGUAACAUUUGUGUGCUGAUACUGAUAUUAUUUUACCAAUCAAAACAAAGCAGCUUUUAUGUAUUUACUGCCAAAUUACUUCAAUGUGAAAAGAAGUUCAGUGUUAUUUCGCUUUAAGAAGUACUUAUUGAUUGAAGAGACAGCUAUUCAUUCAUAUCGUAACAGUUUGUUAAUGGAUUUUAUCAUUAUUUUCUACAUCUAGCGGUCGUUUGAGGAUAUUAAUGAUCUGAUACGGCCAAAAAUGAAAAUUAGUGACUACCUUUGGUGGAAAAACAUUUUUUGUGCCUCUCAAAUCUUUUUAACUUGAUGAUUUUUGGUCCAUGUGACUAAACGUUUCAAUUUAGCAUAUUUAAAGGUUGUUUAACAUUCAAUGAAAGCGUCUUCUAAUUAUCACAGACAAGCAAAAACUUAAUCUGUCUUGCAGAAAGAGCAGCGGCUUCUCUGCUGCAGAUAAAGCUUCUGGACGCCACGGAAACCACCCAGAUAAUCCGGCCUGUGUGUUUAUCGGCCCCAGCAGGAGGGACAACACACACACACACACACACACUGACCAGGAGUCACCGGGUCCCACCUAACCCGGGCCCUUUCUGAGGAACACGCACAUCAUUCCCAGAGUAAAUUACUGGAUUUUUGUCUCAACCCUACAGGAGAGGAAGUGUGAUAAAUGACACUGACCUUACAGGAGCGCAUUAAGAAUACGGAGGGUAUUUCCAUACUAAUGACUCGGUUUCAGAGGAAGGGGCAUUCAUCAGUGCCGCUUGAAAAGUCAGCAUACCUGGAGGAAACCUCCUCCCUGUUCCGCUAAAUCGCCCCGAAGCCGUUUUAGCUAGCAGCUCCACAAACUUUCUCCAGCCUGAAUCCUGUUUUCUGUUUAUUGGGGGAGUAGAGCUGAAAACCUUCAAGUAAGACGACUUGAUUCCUCCAGGAAGAAGAAGAAGAAGAAGAAGAAACGGUUUAUUUUUAAACGCACGUGAACAAACUGUCAGCGAUUAAAGACAAAACGCAGCAGGAAACGCACUCCAUCACAGCUCAGCCGUGAUUUGACGCCGCGAACGUGACGAGGAUGAGAAUGCCUUCCUCCUCAUCCCGCAACCUGGCUGAGGACACGGGAAAAAAAAGAGAAAGAAAGAAACACGACAGCUUUAAUAAGUCAGAUAACGCCACAUCAACUGACAUAUAGAAGUAUUAAAUUCCAAACAGCGAACCCUUUGCACAUAAAUCCAGCAGAGAGGAGAUCCGGAGGAGUGAAGAGAUGCUGAAUGUUAGAUUUAUUUCCACAUGGGGAGAUAAAGGUCUUAGUGGCUUUAUGAAGGAACGUUGUCUUGGCUGACUGUCGGGAUUCUUCUGAUUAGAGUGCAGCCAAGAAAGGUCAAAGGCCACAGCAAGACAGAAAAAUGGAAAACAGUGUGGCUGAGUACACAGAGGAAUUCAUUUAGGCUACAUUACGACCAUGUAUUACGCUGAAACCUUAAAUGAUAGACCUACACAAAUUAGUGCAUAACUGUGAAAUGGAAGGGAAACAUUUAGUUAAUUAUUACUAUCAUUAUUAUUAAUAUUAUUAUUAUUAUUUAAAACUAAAAGUCUGGACUAUGUGGCCUGCGAUAGAAGUCAAAUUUAAAGGCCCUCUUGGUGAAGCAUAGUGGUGGCAGCAUUAUGGUGCAGUCAUGUUUCUAAUUCAAGAAGACAAACAAGUUGGAUUUCUAUGUACUCUAAAGUGUAGCAGCCAUUUUAUUUGUUCCUUUUUUAUCCAGGAAAAAGCAUAAGAGUCAUUCUUUUUUUUUUUUGCAUGGCUCUAAAUAAAGCAAUAAAGUAAACUUCGGUCUUCACUCUUCCUCCAGACUCUGGGACCUUCACUUCCAAAUGAAAUAUGGAAUUUACUUUAAUAUAAAAAGAGGAAAUUUUAACCACUGGACAACAAUCCAGCUAUUUUUCUCCUUAUCCCAAGGCUACAAGCUUCUGACAUCGUCUCUGAUUCAGGAGCGACUCGAUACAAGAAAUGACAUUUGUAGCUCGUUUGUAGCAUUCAGUCUGCAUGCCUUCCACUCACCUUUCUACGAAUAUGUUUAAUAAACUCUACGAACAUCCAGCUUCUAUAGCAGGUUGUUUAGUUUGGUACUAAAAGUUUUAGUACCAAACCUUUUGCCCUUGGUACUAAAACCGGCAAAUUUAAACUGGAAAAAUUAGUUUAUAGUUUGUUUUCUUCAGUGCAGUCUGCUCAAUAAUAAACAUAUAUAUUUUUAAUUAAUUAUAUAAAUCUUUACAGAUUCAAAAUAUAAAGUGCCUUAUUAAAAUAAAAAAGAUUAAUUGCCACAUUUUUGGAGGGUCAUUAGUCGUUUUCUAUUUUGUUGGCCAAAUCUUUAACCUUUCUUGGACUGCGGUUACAAUUUCCUGAGACAAUUUGGGUUUUUCAUGAUCUUUACGUCAUAAUCAUCAAAAUGAUAAGAAAUGAAAGGUGUUGAAACAUUUCAUUAUUCGUGUUGUAAUUCUGUGUGAUAUGAUUUUCACUUUUUGAAAUGUGUGACAAAAGCUGUUGAACCUUUAGACAAUAUUACAUUUGGAAAUGUACCUGUAGACUGAAAUAUUAGUUUGGUCUAAUCCAACUUCGACAUGCUCCCUUCAUGGCAUGUAGGAAACUGCUAACUGGGUUCAUUGGGUUCUCAACAGUCCCUUUCUUCUUGCCGCUCUUGCAUUCAGGACACAUCUGUGGUGUCUCCGUAACAGCCUCAGGAUGAGGCACAAGGGUGUGGACCUUUACUGGACUGUGGCAAUCAGGUUGAGAAGAUAAGGAGAAAAAAAAACCCUCUCUGGUCCACCCCAGAUGUCAUCACGGUAUGCUAAUGAGCUGAGGGGGGCAACCUCUUAAGUGCUGGAGCCCAACAGACUGAGCAGUUAGGAGACAUGGACCAGAUGUCAACACUUGUAAUGAAGAAGUCUAAUGACAAGGUGCAAACAGAUUCCAGACGAGCUGCUUGGCUGUUCUGUCUUGUGCCCUGGACAGGAUAUCAUCUUAUACUGUAAGUUUUUUAAAGAGACACUACAGUAUAGAUGAUGUACUAUCCAGGGUAUCAUUCCACCUCCGCCAACGCUGGAGGAGACUUUGGCUGAAACGUCAGGGGGCCGAACACACAGCCGAGGAGGGCAGUUAAACCGUUACCAUUACUGAGUUUUAGUAAUGGUAAGGGUUCUACGGCCUUCGCUCAAUGACAACGAAGGAAAGGACGAGCUGGAGCAUUGUUACAUUUAAACCUAUAAUGUCAAAUAAAAAUUAUGGUUGUCUCCCUUACACGAGUGCCUCUUUAUUUGUAGAAUCUGCUCUUAAUGGUUUUGUGUUUACUCAUAACAGGGUUUCUGUAGGUUUAAAAAAUUCAAAUUUAAGACUUUUUUUUUUUACUUUUUAAGAUAUUUUUAAAACAGUUAUGAGUGAAAUGUAUGAAUAUCGUCCAAACGUCAGUAAAAUUUUCACCCACCCAUGACAAGUAUAAAACUAUACAACACAUGCUAGCUAGCUAGAAAAAAAAACAAAAAAUGAACAUAGCUAGCUAGCACGGUUCAACCGUCUUGAGAAUCGCAAUGAAGAGUGCGAUUCAAGCUUUUGCCUGACAGAAAAGUUCAGCAAAAAAACAAAAAAACCCAUAAAAUAUACGCGGUUAAAUAGACAAAAUUUUAAUUUACCAUUAUGAUUAACUUAUCUAAGGCAAAUUUACUUUUUUUUUUAAAAAAUCAGUUACAUAAAUUGUAGACUUUUUAAGAAUGCGCGGACACCCUGCAUAAGAUCUAAAUUAAUUUUUUGGACUGAAGUGGAGUUAGCUUGUCUAAGGCAGCGAUCUUUGCUGUCAAAUCAAGAGGGUAGGUAGCAGCUGUUCGGAGAACAAGGAGCGCUUCGGGGACUGACACAGCUUCUGUCUGUGAGGAAACACUUCCUUUCCUGACAUCUGGACACUUACUAGCUGGUUAUUCAUCAAGACGCCCUGAACUGCUGAGUUAACCCACUGGCAGCGGGAGUGAAUCUAAUCCCCAUUAUCUGACCCACUUUAGCAUCAGGUUAGUGCUCCACUUUCCCCAUCCAUUAAGGAGACAAUGUAGCCCUCGGAGGCAGAGACGGGCUUUAUAGGAGCCAAAAGAACGGAGUGAGCGUUAAAAACACGGAGAAGAAGAAGAAAAAGAGGGAAAGUGAUGGUCGCAGAGAUGGAUGGCUACACUUCAAAGGGCAGCAGAGACGGCUAAAGUGAUGAAGGGAGUGAAGGGAACUGGGUUGGACGGUACAUCAGGGACAUGUGAGUGAACAUGACGGUGCAGCUCUCGCCUUCGGUUUAUCUACAGCGCAGCGUUUGUGCCGCCGAGGGAAGAAAAAGCCCUGAGAGCCAAAGAUAAAAACGUCGGCCUUUUCACAGCCUGCCAAACCCGCUCAGCCAUGAAGGAGCUGUCAAAGUCGUGUCAAAACAUCCAUUUGAUGAGCCGCCGUGUCAUGUUUGCUACCAAAAAGGACGCCCAGAGAACGUGACCUCGUUGUGUGAACUUUCUUGGAUACAGCAAACACCUUUGAGCAACGACAAAAGACUUGU